AAGUGAAAAAGGCAAACCACGAGAAAUCGUGUGACGCAAAGCCAAGGGCCUGGACCACGCUAAGUGCUAUGUGGAUGGCAGCCGGUUACCGCA
rnacentral:ncRNA from 1 species